UUAAUUGAAGAGUUUGAUCAUGGCUCAGAUUGAACGCUGGCGGCAGGCCUAACACAUGCAAGUCGAGCGGCAGCACAGAGAAACUUGUUUCUCGGGUGGCGAGCGGCGGACGGGUGAGUAAUGCCUGGGAAAUUGCCCUGAUGUGGGGGAUAACCAUUGGAAACGAUGGCUAAUACCGCAUGAUGCCCUUGUUUAUAAUGAACAGGGGCCAAAGAGGGGGACCUUCGGGCCUCUCGCGUCAGGAUAUGCCCAGGUGGGAUUAGCUAGUUGGUGAGGUAAGGGCUCACCAAGGCGACGAUCCCUAGCUGGUCUGAGAGGAUGAUCAGCCACACUGGA
rnacentral:rRNA from 1 species